GCUACUACCGAUUGAAUGGUUUAGUGAGGACUCCUGAUUGGCGCCGCCGCCCCGGCAACGGAACAGCGGACUGCCGAAAAGUUGUUCAAACUUGAUCAUUUAGAGGAAGUAAAAGUCGUAACAAGGUUUCCGUAGGUGAACCUGCAGAAGGACA
rnacentral:misc_RNA from 1 species